CACGCAGGCGGUUUGGUAAGUCAGGGGUGAAAGCCCACGGCUUAACUGUGGGAUUGCCUCUGAUACUGCCUUUCUGGAGUGCAGGAGAGGGAAGCGGAAUUCCGAGUGUAGAGGUGAAAUUCGUAGAUAUUCGGAGGAACACCGGUGGCGAAGGCGGCUUCCUGGCCUGUAACUGACGCUCAGGUGCGAAAGCGUGGGGAGCAAACAGGAUUAGAUACCCUGGUAGUCCACGCCCUAAACGAUGGGCACUAGGUGUGGGAGGUAUCGACCCCUUCCGUGCCGCAGCUAACGCAUUAAGUGCCCCGCUGGGGAUACGGCCGCAAGGUUGAA
rnacentral:rRNA from 1 species